CCAAGAGACGUGGAAACCGCAAAAAAGAGGUGCAACGAGGGACAGCGGGACUUGGGCCGUCGAGUGACCGAGAGCUCAGCAAAGAAUGGCACCAUGAAGAGACAAGACCGGAGGAGAGGGAGCCACAUCCUUCCAUUCCAUCUAGCUCACCGGCAACAGUAAAAGCGUCUGGGAAAAAAAAGCUUGCAGACAAACC